AAACACGAGAGAGAGCUUUAUUUGGCAGUGCUAAAAAAACCUGGGGACAAAUGGCCAAGCGGCGGUGGAAGUGCAGGCUGCACAAUCAAUAGGCAGAGAGCUGGAUAGAGGCUCCCUUCGCUGCCGGAUCGACAAUCGACAGCUGAGAGACUAUUUUUUGCAAUGGUUGACUAAAUAUGGUCAGGGAAGAGAGAGGCACAAGAGAGCCUGUUUGCCUGGGAGUGCAUGUUUCAAAUGCUUAGCUGCCUAUAAAGCCGUAACAGUUUUGCUCGUGCCCUCUAAGUGGGAAAUACGGUUAGUGUCUUCUGUAGUGUGUCUGCGGGAGCCCUGACCUCGCUAGCAGACUUGACCUCUGAAGAUGGAAAGUAGCUUCACCACAGACCUGCCUACAGUUAAGCCUGGAAACAUAACCUCAAGCAAGAAAAGAUGCAGUGCAAUAUCUAAGGAACUAGAAGAAACCAAUAUUUGCCGGGGGAGGGGGGAGACGAUCGCUAUUUUUUUGGUGCCUUUUUUUAAUUUUUUUUUUGGAAGCAACUCCAACUUUUGGGGGCUUGGUUUUGGUCUUUUGUUGAGUUUUUAUUUUUCUUUUUGGCUGUGAUUAUUAUCAUCUGACAGUGGGCUAAGUUCACCUUCCCUUGGCUUCCUAGCAUCUAUCCUUGGAGUCUUAACUCUCAGUCCAGCAGACAUAAGUUUUAUCUAUUUAAGGUGGUGAGGUACUGUAUGCACCGACAUUCGCCCCCCCUUGCCUCCCCCUCCCAUGUAACGAAGAGCUGAUUCAGCGAAUAGAGUGAGAGAGCACUCAGGAUGAGAUGGCUGCUGCUGAUGUGUCUCUAGGUCAUUACCUCUCUUCCAACUGCAAAUGCUGCAUGAUACUAAGCUUACAGGACACUGAAGAUGCAAACUGCACCCCAGCAUGAAAAUCUGCUAGAAGACCUGGGACGAAGUUGAAGCUUUUUACACUGGACUACAACUAAAAAUUCCAUGAAAAGACAUUGCAAAGCUACCAGUCAUUCAACUCCUCUCCACUUUAAACACGAUCACUUAGGACAAACAGCAAGAGACUGAAAAAUACGGAAAGGCACUUCUAACAUCAAUGUCAUCCCAAAACAAUGAACUGUAACCAGCUAUAAGACACUGUGCAGGUAAAUCGCAUUGCAAAGUUCAGUUAGCAUAGUAAGUUUAUUUUCUAUCAUCAGUUAAUCAUAACGUCAUUCUUCCAAAGAAUUGUCAGCAUGAGUUUUACCUAAUGACAGCAAGAGAAUUCAGCAAAAUACUUUUCAGGUUCAUCAGACAGGCAGUCGAGCAACUCUAUGUGUACCUGCUCAGAGCACAUACUUCUUUAUGUACCCAUAUGAACAUACAAUGCUAUGGAAUGUAAAGAAGUAUGUAUUUUUGGCAGGCAAGGAACGACCAGUAAGAGGAAACUAAACAGCUGCUGGAAGAAACAGGUUUCCCUCUUGUUUGAAUGACAUUCAUGUGACAAAUUGGCCUGCUAAGGGUCAGCUGGUAUUGCCAAAAUAGCUCAUACUUGUUAGUAACAAAUCACAAACCAUUAAAUUAAGUGACCAUAAAAGUGGCUAGGAAGAAUUGUUAACAGCUGAUAAGCAGAAUAUUAGUUGCAAACAGAAUUCAAAACAAGGCUGGAAACGUCAUCUUGAAAUGCACCAAUUAAGACUGCAGCAUAGCUGCAAAAUUUAACAUUACCAGUACUCCUCACUUAAUAGAUCCUAAAGUAAACUUAAAAGACUGAUUCUCAAAAUCUAUCUCAUCAAAAACAAGCCACUGUUCUGUGUAUCUCAGAUGGUAGUACUUAAAUUUGCAUCUACCAUAGAAUAUUUAAUCCACAGGUUGCAACUGAGACAAGUAUUAGCAGCUGAGAAAUUGUAGCUGUGAUUUAGAGAAAAUAAUAGCCAAAAUAAUUGAGUAUAAUAACUUCUGCAAUUUAUUAAGACUUAAGUUAGAAUUUUCUCCAAAUCAGCACUUAUUAUGCUCAGUGAGCUCUUCGAUACAAAGUGCAGUGUCAGGUUUAGCACAAAGUGACAAUACAGAGAUUUCUAGGCCACAGUUGCUAGUCAGCGGAUUAAAGCUAUUGACAGAUUCCUAAAUGAAAACACAAAUGACAACUACAACCUCAAAGGUAAGUUUUCUUAAACAUUAUUUUCAAAUAAGCUGUAUUUAUUUUAAAUUCAAAUUUUAGAAAAUUGGCCCUGAAAAUAUGACUUCAUAACAUCCAGAAAAUUGUAAGAACUACAUGAGAAAUAGUUCCGCAACUGUCUCAAGUUCUAAAAGUGGUAUUCAUUAAAAUAUACUGGUGCAUAUCAUCCCUAAUUAAAGACACUCGACAUCAAAUUCAGGAACAAGGGAAAAACACAAGGAAAGAACUCCCUGUUCAUCAAUCCAGCCAUUCCUAUUCAUGACAGCAACCUUCUAAAAGCAGUUAUUAAAAAGGAUAUGUCCAUCAUACGUAAGCACAUUUGGCCCAGAUUAAAGAUUCUAACUGUACUCCUCUGCUUACUUAAAUGUUUGGAAGGAAAAAAAACCAAACAAACAAGAAAAAUAAACAAAGGCAAUGUAUGAUUUUUAGAUGGGGCUAUUAUUUUUAAAUACUCACAUAAUUCUGAAAUAGCUAGUAAUAUAUAUAGCCUGAUAUUGUUAACACCUGAAACUACAUAUAAUACAAGAAGAAACAUUAUCUUAUCUGAACCACUAUCUCAUCUGCCUAAGAAAGAAAAAUAUCAAUGUGUUUUAAAGCUAUUUCUCUUACAAGCAGAUAUUUUGACAUGAAAGCUACAGUAUCUUAACAUCUAAAUUAAAACCUGGUUUUUAGUGUGAAACAAAUCAAAUUGCAGUAGCUUUUCUGAAUAGAGGAAUGCUACUGAACUUGAUUACGAUCACAGAAGCAAUCUGGUAUUACUAAAAGCUUCAUUGAGGGGUUAAUUGCUAAGCGUUUAGUUCUUUUCCUAAAGAGUUUGUGUGCUUAGCACCGAUUGAUUUGGCUUCCACUAUAUAAUGAGACCAAUUUUUUUAACCGCUUAAAUUUAUUUUGAAAGGGUUUUGGUAACUAUUUGUCAUACCGUGUUCUUUCUUGUAUAACAUUGCACUGCUAUGCUGUAACAAAAUGACAGUUCAGAGUGAUACAGAAGUUAAAAUUAUAUGUUGACAUUGCUUCCUGCUAGUUCAUGUUAGCAUAUCUCUAAGAAUACAUAUCCAGUCACUCUAAAAUGUCACAUCCAUCACUUAGAUCAGCUGUUCAAUUUUAACUGAGCACACGUUGAACUUUGGGCAUCUGCUGACACAGUUGUAACUCAAACAUUUCAACUGUGUGACUGACAGGGAUAACAGAUGCUGACAUUAUCAAAUGCUACACGGCUUUUUUUCCACAGCCGUUUUUUGUCCCGAUAUGGCCAGUACAUGAAACUGUAUUGCCAUCCAAAAGUGCACUUGAGCAGCUGUAUCUGUAAAACAGUUCCUCUAUAACUGGUAAAAAUAGAAACUCAUUUUAUAGCCAUCUUGAUGCUUAAGUCCAAGUGACACACCUGCUAUGUUUCUAUUAGGAUACACGGUGUAGGGAAUAUAUUUACAUAAAUCUGCUCACCAGCAUCAGACUAUGCAACAAACAGAUGUAGACUACCCUUGACAUACUCAUUACUAGCGAAUGGUUUGAACUAAGGUUGUCCCCUACUUUCCAUUGUAGUCAAAGCUCAGAAAGAAUUCAAUAUAUGAUGGGGGGGAAAAAAAAAAAGCUAUGCGAGCACUCACAAACGUAUUAAGGAUCUUAAUUUAGAAGGAAUCAGAUGAAACUUCAGACAGUUCUUUAAAAGCUGUAUUUUUCUGGCAUUGAACUUUUUUACAUAUACUAUCAGAGCAAAAAAAAUUAAAUUUAUCCUGCUGUAUUAUAUAAUCAUUCCUAAAAAGUUAAUACUAACCAGAGAUAUAGCAAUGGAAUUGAAAGCACUUGACAUUUAUACUUGUGCUAACCAACUACAGCAUAAAAGCAGCUGCAAAAGGGAACCUGCCAAAAAAUGAAUGGGGGGGGAGUGUGGGGGGAAAACUGAAACCUUCUUUCCCAGUGAAGUUUAACAUAAAGAAGUAAGGGAGCUCUACAUGAUUAGAAAUUUUAAGACUUCAGUUUCUAAUCUAAUCUAAAAUUUCAUUAUUGCAGAUAGGAAUAAGUUAAAACUGUAAUUUUCAUUUGAGACUCAUCCAAAGAUCCUCAAGGAAAUACUCAAGGACGGAACAAAUCUAUACAGGUCUUUCUGGUAUACAGCUUUUCAUUUUGCCAUCUCCAAAUUAGUGAAAGAGUUAAAAAUUUGCAUUGACAACAAAUUGUGUAACACAGAAGAAAGCCACAUGUUCUUUGUGAACUGUUCAUGUGCUUAAAAACGUGUUACUGAAUUAUAAGCUCCCUGCAUCCAAUGCUUUGCUAAAGCUGGUAAAAUGGAACCAAAUCACCUCUUCAAUGGAUUUGGUCCCCUUCAACCAGCUGUAGCUAUGCAUUGAUCACUACAGGAUUUCUUAUACUUUUAAAACUGGACACAAAGCCUGCUCAGAAUAAUUAUGUAGUCCUCUCUGCAGUUCAGUUCAACUAUUCUAGACAGCUUGAAGACAGAAGGUAACAAGGAGUGUAGCAAAUUCUGUAUUCUAAGAUUUCAAGUAUGUAUUUGUAAAUAAAUAGCUGGUUUUUAUGUUUACAUUCAGUGAAAAUUCAUCUCUUAAAACAUUUAUAAAGAAGAUAGGUAAGCAGUGAAAUAAACACAUUUUCCAACGA